rnacentral:ncRNA from 2 species
CCAGUCUGGUGCCAGCAGCUGCGGUAAUUCCAGCUCUGCGAGUUUGCUCCCAUAUUGUUGCAGUUAAAACGCCCGUAGUCUGAAUUGGCCAGCAAUGGUCGUACGUAUUUUUACGUUCACUGUGAACAAAUCAGGACGCUUAGAGUAUGGCCACAUGAAUGACUCAGCGCAGUAUGAAGUCUUUGUUUUCUUCCGAAAACAAGCUCAAUGAGAGCCAUCGGGGGUAGAUCUAUCUCAUGACGAGUGGUGGAAUACUUUGACUCAUGAGAGAGAAGCUGAGGCGAAGGCGUCUACCUAGAGGGUUUCUGUCGAUCAAGGGCGAGAGUAGGAGUAUCCAACAGGAUUAGAGACCCUGGUAGUUCCUACCUUAAACGAUGCCGACAGGAGUUUGUCAUUUGUUAAUGGCAGAAUCUUUGGAGAAAUCAUAGUUCUUGGGCUCUGGGGGAACUACGACCGCAAGGCUGAAACUUGAAGGAAUUGACGGAAGGGCACACCAGGGGUGGAGCCUGUGGCUUAAUUUGAAUCAACACGGGGAAACUUACCAGGACCAGAUGUUUUUUAUGACUGACAGGCUUCGGGUCUUUCAGGAUAUUGUUUUUGGUGGUGCAUGGCCGUUGGUGGUGCGUGGGUUGACCUGUCUAGCGUUGAUUCAGCUAACGAGCGAGAUUAUCGCCAAUUAUUUACUUUGCCGAAGUCCUUCGGUUAAAGUUCUAAUUGGGACUCCCUGCGAUUUUAGCAGGUGGAAGAGGGUAGCAAUAACAGGUCCGUGAUGCCCUUUAGAUGCUCUGGGCUGCACGCGUGCUACAAUGUUAGGAUCAAUAGGACUGCGAGCCUGAGAGGGUGCGCUACUCUUAUAAUCUCUAACGUAGUUGGGAUUGACGUUUGUAAUCAGCGUCAUGAACCAGGAAU